CCUUAUCGUGGUGGAGGAGUUUGAGUGCCCUAAUGAUCCUAGGAGCUAUGUUGUCUGGGGCACUUAGUGCCCCUGGUAGGGUCUCCCAUGACAAAUUGGUCUUAGGUGAAGGGUGAGACAAAGAACGGUUCGAAGGAUCUUUCAUGGCGGUGAAAACGAAGAGUCGGAGUACCCGGCCCGGAGGGUUUCCGGGGUCCCACCCUGGAGCCAGGCCUGGGGUUGGGGCCCGUGAGCGAGCGCCUGGUGGCCGGGCUUUCGCCCAUGGGGCCCGGCCGGGCCCAGCCCGAACCGGAUACAUGGGCUCGUCCAACUGUGGACCCACCACCUGCAGGAGGAACAUGAAGGGUCCGGUGCAAUGUGAAUCGGGUGGCAGACCAAGGCGGGAGCCUUGGCGGUCCAAUCCCCGGACAAGAAAACUAGUUUUUGGGACAUGGAACGUCACCUCGCUGGCGGGGAAGGAGCCGGAGCUUGUGGCAGAGGUUGAGCGGUACCGGCUAGAUAUAGUCGGACUCACCUCGACACAUUGCAUUGGCUCUGGAACCCGAGACCUGGAGAGGGGUUGGACACUCUACUUUGCUGGAGUUGCUCCGGGUGAGAGGCGGAGGGCUGGGGUUGGCUUUUUGUUAGCCCCGAGACUCUCUGCCUGUGUGUUGGGGUUUACCCCGGGGGACAAGAGGGUAGCUUCCUUGCGCCUUCGGGUCGGGGAACGGGUCCUGACUGUUGUUUGUGCUUAUGGGCCAAAUAUCAGUUCAGAGUACCCACCCUUUUUGGAGUCCCUGGGACGAGUGCUAGAUAGUGCUCCAUCAGGGGACUCCAUUGUCCUGCUGGGGGACUUCAAUGCUCACGUGGGCAAUGACAGCUUGACCUGGAGGGGUGUGAUUGGGAGGAACGGCCCACCUGAUCAGAACUCGAGCGGUGUUUUGUUAUUGGACUUCUGUGCAAGCCGCAGUUUGGCCAUAACGAACACCAUGUUCGAACAUAAGGAUGCCCACCGGUACACUUGGUACCAGGGCAGCCUAGGUCACAGGUCGAUGAUAGAUUUUGUAGUCGUAUCAUCUGACCUGCGGCCGUAUGUUUUGGACACCCGAGUGAAGAGAGGGGCGGAGCUGUCAACUGAUCACCACCUGGUGGUGAGUUGGAUCAGAUGGCAAGGGAACAUGCCGCGUAGACCUGGCAGACCCAAACGCAUAGUGAGAGUCUGCUGGGAACGCCUGGCAGAAGAACCUGUCAAGACGGUCUUCAACUCCCACCUCCGGCAGAGCUUUGACCACGUCCCGAGAGCAGUGGGGGACAUUGAGUCCGAGUGGGCCUUGUUCCACUCUGCGAUUGUCGAGGCGGCUGUUGCUAGCUGUGGUCGUAAGGUGGCCGGUGCCAGUCGUGGUGGCAACCCCCGUACCCGCUGGUGGACACCAGAGGUUCGGGGAGCCGUCAGGCUGAAGAAGGAGGCCUACAGGGCGUGGCUGGUCUGUGGGUCUCCGGAGGCAGCAGACAGGUACCGGAUAGCCAAGCGGGGUGCAGCAGUGGCAGUUGCCGAGGCAAAAUCUCGGGCGUGGGAGGAGUUUGGUGAGGCCAUGGAGAAAGACUAUCGAUCGGCUCCAAAGAGGUUCUGGCAAACUGUCCGGCGCCUCAGGAGAGGAAGGCAGCAACUCGCUCACACUGUUUACAGUGGGGAUGGGGAGCUGCUGACGUCAACUGAGGCUAUAGUCGGACGGUGGAAGGAAUACUUUGAGGAGCUCCUCAAUCCCACCAAUGCGCAUUCCGAGGAGGAACCAGAGCUGGGAGGCCUGGGGAUGGACUGUCCGAUCUCGGGGGCAGAAGUUGCUGAGGUAGUCAAACAACUACACAGCGGCGGAGCCCCGGGGGCGGAUGAGGUUCGUCCUGGGUAUCUCAAGGCUAUGGAUGUUGUAGGGCUGUCAUGGUUGACACGUCUCUACAACAUUGCGUGGUCAUCGGGGGCAGUUCCUAGGGAGUGGCAGACCGGGGUGGUGGUCCCCAUCUUUAAGAAGGGUGACCUGAGGGUGUGUUCCAACUAUAGGGGGAUCACACUCCUCAGCCUCCCUGGAAAGGUCUACGCCAAGGUACUGGAGAGGAGGGUCCGAUCGAUAGUUGAAUCUCAGAUAGAGGAGGAGCAAUGUGGUUUUCGUCCUGGCCGUGGAACUGUGGACCAGCUCUAUACCCUUGCAAGGGUGAUGGAGGGGGCAUGGGAGUUUGCCCAACCAAUCCACAUGUGCUUUGUGGAUUUGGAGAAGGCUUAUGACCGUGUCCCCAGGGGCACCCUGUGGGGGACGCUCCAGGAGUAUGGGGUGGGUGGCUUUCUGUUAAGGGCCAUUCAGUCCCUUUACCAGAGGAGCGUGAGUUUGGUCCGCAUAGCCGGUAGUAAGUCGGACCUGUUCCCAGUGAGGGUUGGACUCCGCCAGGGCUGCCCUUUGUCACCGGUUCUGUUCAUCACUUUUAUGGACAGAAUUUCUAGACGCAGCCGUGGUGUGGAGUGUGUCGAGUUUGGUGGCAGGAGAAUCUCGUCUCUGCUUUUUGCGGAUGAUGUGGUCCUCCUAGCUUCAUCCAGCUCUGACCUUCAGCUCUUGCUGGGUAGGUUCGCGGCCGAAUGUGAAGCGGCUGGGAUGAGGAUCAGCACCUCCAAAUCUGAGACCAUGGUUCUCGACCGGAAAAGGGUGGCUUGCCACCUCCGGGUCGGGGGAGAGGUCCUACCUCAAGUGGAGGAGUUUAAGUAUCUCGGGGUCUUGUUCACGAGUGAGGGUAGGAGGGAUCGGGAGAUCGACAGGCGGAUUGGUUCGGCGUCUGCAGUGAUGCGGACGCUGAGCCGAUCUGUCGUGGGGAAGAGGGAGCUGAGCCAGAAAGCCAGGCUCUCGAUUUACCGGUCGAUCUACGUCCCAAUCCUCACCUAUGGUCAUGAGCUUUGGGUAAUGACCGAAAGAACGAGAUCGCGGAUACAAGCGGCCGAAAUGAGUUUCCUCCGUAGGGUGGCUGGGCUCAGCCUUAGAGAUAGGGUGAGGAGCUCGGACAUUCGGGAGGGACUCGGAGUAGAACCGCUGCUCCUCCGGAUCGAAAGGAGCCAGUUGAGGUGGUUUGGGCAUCUGGUCAGGAUGCCUCCUGGACGCCUCCCCGGGGAGGUGUUUCGGGCAUGUCCUGCCGGCAGAAGGCCCCCGGGUCGACCCAGGACACGUUGGAGAAGUUACAUCUCCAAUCUGGUCCGGGAACGCCUUGGGGUCCUGCCGGAGGAGCUGGUGGACAAGGCCGGGGAGAGGACGGCCUGGAGCUCCCUAGUUGGGAUGCUGCCCCCGCGACCCGGACCCGGAUAAGCGGAGGAAGACGACGACGACGACGAACAUCAGACCCAAUCUGUUGUGUCUACAAACCCUGAUCUGAGACCCCCGGUCAGAUCCGGAAUAUCAGGAAGUCUGGUGGACCUCAAGGCACCGAAGUUCGUAGAAUAACCGCAGUGUGACCAGUCCGGUCUCGAGAUGUUUCCAGGUCACAGCAGGCAGGAAGGUUCGUUGCGUCUAACACGGAUGUGCUCUUAAGGAGCCGGCUGUGUCAGCUGGCAGUGUGCCAACGGGUUUGACUGUGUGUCAGAGAGAGAGACGUCUCAAGGACGCUGGUUCCGAAUGCGCCACUCCGGAGUUCAGCUCGAAACUGAACAACUCGGGAAGUCACCCUAGUUUUAAUAAUCCACUUGUUAUCAUUUCUGGGAAUCAGAAUUGGACAUGUUUGUAGGCUUUUACCAAACAUCCCUCAGAAAACCACACCUUCCAGAUACAAGCUGUUCUAGUUCUGUGGAUAAAGAAUCUUUAAACUUUAUGUGAGGCGACCUUAACCUUAAUUUGCAUCUAAUGAACAUCGUGUAUGAGUGUAGAUAAUGAUGAACUUGUUAAACCAAACAGUACAUAUCAUAAGAUGGAUCUUUGUAAAGACAACAUUCAUUUCAACUUCUCCGAAUUAGGCACAGAUUAUUCAAACAUUUCAUGUAACAUCUGGUUCAUUCAACCACAUGAUUAUUUAACUUAUGAGUUGUAAAAGUUCACUUUUAUUCAGAGUGUGGAAUCCAGCAGUCCGAGACAAGAGGACAGCCUUUGUUUGGAGACCCGGUUUGACAGUCUUGUCUUCGUGGACCGUCAACAAGCACUGCAGAAACUUCUGGAUGUUAGAAGAUGGAGUAGAAAAUCCACCUAGAUAGUGGAAUUAGUUCUGUAGAUAACCGGUCACUAUGUAGGUCAAUAUAUAGGUCAAAAUUGACCCUUUCUGGACUUUACACCUUUAAGCCUGGGGCACACCAGAGACAGACGUGCCGUCAAGUGGUCAUGCAGGACGCGCCGCUGAGCGGUUCUUGGAAAGUCGCGCAAUAGUCACAACAUCACGCGGGACUUGAGAACAGGAAGCGGAAAGUGACUCUUUUGUUUUUACGUGAUCAGACUUGCAGUCAUGUUUUGAGAGACUAAUUCAUUAAAAUGGGUAAGUACACUAUUUAUCAGAAUAUUUUAAGAUCAACAGUACUUUAAAGUUAUCGAUACUGCGGUUAGCUUUGGGCCGGCGGUUGGGUUUGUGCCAUAAAGUCGUUCCGCGUUUUAAUGUCUGUUGUAAAGUACUCCACAAUGUUGUAAAAAGCUGGAAAUAGAACUGGCGCCUAUCUUCACCGCCUCGGCACGGCGCUCCUCGUGUAGCCACUCUCAUUAACUAUACUGGCUUCUAUUUAAAAUGAUGGCGCAGGCACAGUGCGUCUGUCUCCGGUGUGCCCUACGCUUUAGCCUCUUCAGUGAGACCUGCAGGGCUUUAGUUGUUGUUCUGGGAUUUUAUCUCUUUUGACCUGGGAAAUAUGCAUGGUUUUUUGAGGUGUUUUAGCCUACUUCCUGUUCUCAGAUGGUGUUCCAUUGAAGGGAUUUAUUAUUUCUACAUGUAGGUUUGGGUCUGGAUGGUGGAAAUAAACUCAGGUUUCCAGAAAAUAGGAUUAAUCCGGAUUAAUUCCACAAUGAAUUUAUGGCUGAACAAAGGGAGCGAUGACUUUAGAUUGCUCUGUUCCCUUGCACAAAUGAAAUCAUUGUUGGAAAACUGGAUUUUGCAUUUACUCGGGUUAUCUUUGUUCUGCGCUUUAAUGUUGAUACAGUCAGAACUAAUAUGGGCAAUACAGCGUUCUAUACGUUGUAUACAUAAUGAAAGAAAAACUUCAGAACGAAUUUAAUAAAAUACGAAGGAAAUGACUCUUUGGGCAACUACAACUAAUUUUAAUUAUCAAAUCUUGUUUGACUUUGUUAAAUCUUGAAUAUUUAGUUAUUUUAUCAUUUUAUUGUCCAAACAUGUGCUUUUGUUGUAAUAUGUUAAUUGUGUGCAUAUUCUUGUAUAGUCUUUAUUCUGCCUUUAUGGACCAGGUCACUCUUGAAAAUGAAUUAGAUAGCUCAAAGAGGUUUUUUUAAACCGGUUAAAUAAAGGAAUAAUAAUAAUAAUAAUAAUAGUAAAUUAUUUCCUGAUGUAAAACAUUUAACUGUCACACAAAAAAGAAGAAAACGGAGGAAAUCCACUUGAUUUAUACUGACUAAAAAGGCAUUUCCUGUUUGAAAGUUUGUGUUUAAAUUGACUCAAACUGUGUGGUUGGUGCAGGACAGUCGUCGAACAGCCAGCCAAAGAAUCCCAGCCAAGUAUUCAGAGGAAGCCCCUAUCCAAAUCGGUACUCACAACGUGCCAGUGCAGGUCUGCGCAGGCCAGAAGCGGGGUCAGCCAUCAGGAGGCAGCCCUCCUCUCCAGUUGGUCCAGCUUUUAACAGGGUUCAGCCUG